AAAUCAGGGACCAAACCAUCUCGACGAUUAGGUCAAUUCCUAACCUAAUCGGGUCAAACCCAACUGAAUCCAAUUCAAUUGGACUUGAUCCAAAAAUAAUUACUCAGUCAAAUUGAGUUAAUUAGUGAUCAAAUUACUAAUUAAAUCUCUCAUAAAUACUAAGUCCAAAUCCGAUGGGCAAUCGGGCAUCAGAAUUCAUCGAUAUGUAACCCUGAUCGAAAAGUUCCAACCAGUGGGACUCUUGACCCCGGUACCCAUAAUGUGUGGAACUCG
rnacentral:lncRNA from 1 species